UAAUGUGGAGAGGCCUGGGGCCUUUCCCUGAGGACUGGAUGGCUGGAGUUUGGGAGCCUGAGUUGACAGAGGAGGCUAAGCCCGGGCAGCUACUUUGUUCCAGAAAUCUAAGGUCCCUGGAGGGAGGCUCAGCUUUGGGAGGGGGAAGGGAGCUAACAUUGCAGAGCACCAACUGUGAGCCAGGUGCAAUGGCAGAGCCUUUCCAUACCUGUACUCACAACUAGCGGGUGAGGAGUCAGGGCAAAUAUGUGUCUCAUAGCUCCCCAUAUCUCGGCAGUCGACCACCUCCUCCUUUGAUUCUCUGAUGUCACUGCCAGUUCUCCUCCUAUUGCACUGACUUGUCUUUCUCUGUGUCCUUUGCAAACUCAUUCUCAACUCCUUAGAUUCAGUCAAGUCCCCCAGUUACACACUUCCAUGGUACUAUAUAUCGUUCCUUCAGAGCACUUAACACAGUUAUUUCCUAUGUAUUUGUCCAGUCAUUUGAAUAAUGAUCCUAGUUUCAUUGGAUGGAAAGUUCCACAAGGUCAGUGACCAUUUCUAUCUGUGUUCACCAAUGUGUUCCCAGUGCCCAGAAACAAUGCCUAGCAUAAAGCAGCUGUUUUGUAAAUACUUGUUCAAUGAAUGAAUAAAUGACAAAAGAACAUC
rnacentral:lncRNA from 1 species